UACGGGGGGGGCAAGCGUUGUUCGGAAUUACUGGGCGUAAAGGGCUCGUAGGCGGCCAACUAAGUCAGACGCGAAAUCCCUCGGCUUAACCGGGGAACUGCGUCUGAUACUGGAUGGCUUGAAUCCGGGAGAGGGAUGCGGAAUUCCAGGUGUAGCGGUGAAAUGCGUAGAUAUCUGGAGGAACACCGGUGGCGAAGGCGGCAUCCUGGACCGGCAUUGACGCUGAGGAGCGAAAGCCAGGGGAGCAAACGGG
rnacentral:rRNA from 1 species